CCCCUAAUUUGUCCAAAACCAGGACAAAUAAUUUGGUGGCCCGUACGGGGAGGCCCAGACAAAGUGGAAAAAACUUUAUUCUAAUAAUAUUUUUGGCUUUAACCGUUCUGCGGGAAUAUUGGUAUGUCUUUCUUUAAAGUUAUGAUGUCAUUGGGAGUGAAAGCCUGCCUCUAUUUGUGGUCAUUAGGGUUCUUCGAAGUUUUGAUCGCUUUAUGGUCCCUGGAGUUAUUUUCUUAUCCAGAAGUAGCUCCGACAUCGGACCUACUCCGGGCAGGAGCUCCCCCGGGGUCUGCGAAAGAAGCUGCGUACCCUCUGCGGCGAAGAGAGAUACAGCUCAACCCUCUUGGACUGGUGAAAACAUCUGUGGUCAUCUUGGGCUA